rnacentral:rRNA from 1 species
UGAGUACGAGAUGCUACGGCGUCGAAGCAGUCUAGGUCAUACUUCCAAGAAAAGCUUGCACUGUCAUAAACAAAGAAUGCCUGUACCAUAACCGACACAGGUGGGUAGGUAGAGUAUACUAAGGGGCGCGAGAUAACUCUCUCUAAGGAACUCGGCAAAAUGACUCCGUAACUUCGGGAGAAGGAGUGCCUUAUUUUUAAGGUUGCAAUAACAAGAUCCAAGCAACUGUUUACCAAAAACACAGGUCUCCGCUAAGUCGUAAGACGAUGUAUGGGGGCUGACGCCUGCCCAGUGCCAGAAGGUUAAAGAAGUUGGUUAGCAUUCGCGAAGCUGAUAACUGAAGCCCUGGUGAACGGCGGCCGUAACGAUAACGGUCCUAAGGUAGCGAAAUUCCUUGUCGGGUAAGUUCCGACCCGCACGAAAGGCGUAAUGAUUUGGAUACUGUCUCGGAGAGGGGCUCGGUGAAAUAGACUUGUCUGUGAAGAUGCGGACUACCUGCACCUGGACAGAAAGACCCUAUGAAGCUUUACUGUAACUUGAGAUUGAAAUUGGACUUUAUUUGCGCAGUAUAGGUGGGAGGCGUUGAGAAUAAUCUUGCGGGAUUAUCGGAGCCAUCAGUGAGAUACCACUCUUGUAAUGUUAGAUUUCUAACUUUGUAUCAUUAUCUGGUCAAAGAACAGUUUCAGGCGGGCAGUUUGACUGGGGCGGUCGCCUCCCAAAGGGUAACGGAGGCGCACAAAGGUUUCCUCUGAACGGGUAGAAAUCGUAUCUAGAGUGUAAAGGCAUAAGGAAGCUUGACUGUGAGACCUACAAGUCGAGCAGGGACGAAAGUCGGUCUUAGUGAUCUGACGGUGCUGAGUGGAAAGGCCGUCACUCAACGGAUAAAAGUUACUCUAGGAUAACAGGCUGAUCUCCCCCAAGAGUUCACAUCGACGGGGAGGUUUGGCACCUCGAUGUCGGCUCAUCGCAUCCUGGGGCGGUAGUACGUCCCAAGGGUUGGGCUGUUCGCCCAUGAAAGCGGUACGCGAGCUGGGUUCAGAACGUCGUGAGACAGUUCGGUCCAUAUCCGGUGUAGGCGUUAGAAUAUUGAAAGGAGCCUUCUCUAGUACGAGAGGACCGAGAAGGACAUACCUCUGGUGUGCCAGUUAUCGUGCCAACGGUAAACGCUGGGUAGCUAUGUAUGGAGUGGAUAACCGCUGAAAGCAUCUAAGUGGGAAGCCCACCUUAAGAUAAGUAUUCU